rnacentral:rRNA from 1 species
AGAGUUUGAUCAUGGCUCAGAUUGAACGCUGGCGGCAGGCCUAACACAUGCAAGUCGAGCGGAUGAAGGGAGCUUGCUCCUGGAUUCAGCGGCGGACGGGUGAGUAAUGCCUAGGAAUCUGCCUGGUAGUGGGGGAUAACGUCCGGAAACGGGCGCUAAUACCGCAUGCGUCCUGAGGGAGAAAGUGGGGGAUCUUCGGACCUCACGCUAUCAGAUGAGCCUAGGUCGGAUUAGCUAGUUGGUGGGGUAAAGGCCUACCAAGGCGACGAUCCGUAACUGGUCUGAGAGGAUGAUCAGUCACACUGGAACUGAGACACGGUCCAGACUCCUACGGGAGGCAGCAGUGGGGAAUAUUGGACAAUGGGCGAAAGCCUGAUCCAGCCAUGCCGCGUGUGUGAAGAAGGUCUUCGGAUUGUAAAGCACUUUAAGUUGGGAGGAAGGGCAGUAAGUUAAUACCUUGCUGUUUUGACGUUACCAACAGAAUAAGCACCGGCUAACUUCGUGCCAGCAGCCGCGGUAAUACGAAGGGUGCAAGCGUUAAUCGGAAUUACUGGGCGUAAAGCGCGCGUAGGUGGUUCAGCAAGUUGGAUGUGAAAUCCCCGGGCUCAACCUGGGAACUGCAUCCAAAACUACUGAGCUAGAGUACGGUAGAGGGUGGUGGAAUUUCCUGUGUAGCGGUGAAAUGCGUAGAUAUAGGAAGGAACACCAGUGGCGAAGGCGACCACCUGGACUGAUACUGACACUGAGGUGCGAAAGCGUGGGGAGCAAACAGGAUUAGAUACCCUGGUAGUCCACGCCGUAAACGAUGUCGACUAGCCGUUGGGAUCCUUGAGAUCUUAGUGGCGCAGCUAACGCGAUAAGUCGACCGCCUGGG